CACAGGCCAUUCAAUGCUAGUUAAAGUGUCAGGACUUGACAAGAGGCUUAGUAUGAAGGAGAACACUUUCAGGGGACCAAGUCAGAGAUAAGUCUGCAACCACAGCAAUGGCCCUUUAGAAAGCAUUUAAGAGGCCUGGUGCUUUUUGAGCUGCUUUGAUGACGUGGCAAUGGCUGGAGGGGAAAAGCAGCGGCACAGCUGCCUGCCAUUGGCCUGGUCUUUUUCACUGUGCUCAGUGUUGUCAUCACGAAGCCUCUCAUGCAGCGCGAUGUCAGGAUGGGCCCAUGCGCGGGUGGAAGGCAUGUGGGGGCCAUGUUGCCAGCUGCGGAUGGACAGGCUUCUGAUAUCAGGCUGUGACAGCACUGUCAUCUCCCAAGAAUCCAGCAUCCGUCUGCAUGGAUUGCAUGCCAUCCUUGAAUCCACUCACUUGCCCAGCCCCUGAACCAACUGAUGAAUGUGGUGAAGUCUUCCCUUCGUCACCCCAGGUGCAGCCACAGCCUCUGCAGCCACCCUGGGGGAGAGACAGCUCCAGGACCUGCUAAGGUGAGGUGUUCUGGAAGGGUCUCUGCUCCUAGCAGUCACUGGCAGCUUGCCCAAAUUGGAGAAGUUUAACAUCUCUUUUCUCUGAGAAGUAAAAUGUGUUUCUUUGGUGGAUGUGAAACCAACAAACCACUGUGGUGCCUCUCUACAUCUGAAGGAUGAGCCAGCCAAGCCAGGGGAACUGACGACCCCACACACGUCUGCACUGCUGUGGCCGUGUUGAACACGGACUCCUUCUUCAGGGCAGCCUUGGGCCAUCGGAGGGCUGCUGUAUGCAGUGACGGCCACCAAGUGUCCUUGGCCAGGGGAGUGAUUUACAGGGACUGAGAUCCUGACUUGUGACCCAGACACGAAUGCAUCCUUGUUCCAUUUUGUUAUUGCUCAACCGUCAUCUGGCCAUCCCCAAAGCCCACCUCUGUGAGAAAGGCCAGUGCUUGUCCUCGUGACACCCCUGAGACCUCGAUGGAGCAAGUCCCAGGGCCCAUCAUACAUUUUUAAAGAAAAUCUUCUUUUGGUGAGAAGAUCAAAGGGCCAGGCAGAAAUGGAAAAGCACUUUCUGGCAUCAGACUUCCUCUGACUUCUCCGGUUGCCACACCACUGAAAGACUGCCCCACAGUGCGAGGGACGUCCACAUCUGCCUGGCUCUCCGAGGGAUGAACAGCCUUCAGUUCAGCUUCCUGUCACACCCCAAAAUCCACCAGGGCUCUGCAGUCAUAGAGCCCUGGAACCCAGAGGUGGAAACUUAAAGGAAUGAGUGCUCUCUCGCUCCAAAACCACAGAUAUCUGGUCCAUAGAGAACCCACCACACUUGUAUACAUUUUCAUACGUCUGCGCACAUACACAAAUGCACAAACACAUGUUCAGCUGUUGAUAAUCAUCUGAUCUUUUGCUCUUUCGAUGUAAAUAUGGCCAGAUAUCUCUGGCUUUAAUUCUCAUUAAAAUUUUGAAAGUUAUACUUUC
rnacentral:lncRNA from 1 species